GGUGAGGGGUGUGUCCCAUGCCGGUUUGAUCUACAAAAAAUGCGGGAGCAUAGAAAAAUCCCGCACUUUUGUAGAUCAAACCGACAUGGGACAACCUGACACUGUGUUCA
ensembl:miRNA mir-5545 ncRNA